GACGAACGCUGGCGGCGUGCUUAACACAUGCAAGUCGAACGGAAAGGCCCUGCUUUUGUGGGGUGCUCGAGUGGCGAACGGGUGAGUAACACGUGAGUAACCUGCCCUUGACUUUGGGAUAACUUCAGGAAACUGGGGCUAAUACCGGAUAGGAGCUCCUGCUGCAUGGUGGGGGUUGGAAAGUUUCGGCGGUUGGGGAUGGACUCGCGGCUUAUCAGCUUGUUGGUGGGGUAGUGGCUUACCAAGGCUUUGACGGGUAGCCGGCCUGAGAGGGUGACCGGCCACAUUGGUACUGAGGUACGGCCCAGACGCCUACGGGAGGCAGCAGUGGGGAAUAUUGCACAAUGGGCGGAAGCCUGAUGCAGCAACGCCGCGUGCGGGAUGACGGCCUUCUGGUUGUAAACCGCUUUCGCCUGUGACGAAGCGUGAGUGACGGUAAUGGGUAAAGAAGCACCGGCUAACUACGUG
rnacentral:rRNA from 1 species